AUCGGAUAGUCUUUGAGGGCGUGUACGAGAGUCUCAUAAUCGGGACCACACCUAGGACAAGCUUGACCAAAUCCACGACGAACAGAGGCUAUCUUGACAUUAGUUGGUAGGAUCUCGUUAUCCACACGCCAGGUGAACACACGGAUCUUAGGGAGAGUGUUGAGUUUCCAGAUCGCUCUCCAAAAAAACCUAUGGGGGCAAACCCAAUUUGCUUCAAGAGAAGCCAAGAGUAAGCAGACUUCGAGGUAUAAUCUCUUAAAAAAUUGUGAAACCACACCAUUCUAUCGUUGUGAUUCUCGUCCUUGAUUGGUAAGUUACAUAUUUUCUCUUGGCCAUAAAACUCACAGACCCUACAGG
rnacentral:lncRNA from 1 species